rnacentral:rRNA from 1 species
CGGCCUUUCGGGGCUGGGCGGCGGACGGGUGAGUAACGCGUGGGUGACCUGCCCUCAGCUCUGGGAUAAGCCUGGGAAACUGGGUCUAAUACCGGAUAUGACCUAACUUCGCAUGGGGUUGGGUGGAAAGUUUUUCGGCUGGGGAUGGGCCCGCGGCCUAUCAGCUUGUUGGUGGGGUGAUGGCCUACCAAGGCGACGACGGGUAGCCGGCCUGAGAGGGCGACCGGCCACACUGGGACUGAGAUACGGCCCAGACUCCUACGGGAGGCAGCAGUGGGGAAUAUUGCGCAAUGGGCGAAAGCCUGACGCAGCGACGCCGCGUGGGGGAUGACGGCCUUCGGG